AGGGGUUUAAGUUAAUAAAACUAAUGGCCUUCAAAGCCUUAAAUAAGAAUGAAAACUUCUUAACCUCUG
rnacentral:tRNA from 1 species